rnacentral:rRNA from 1 species
GACGAACGCUGGCGGCGUGCUUAACACAUGCAAGUGGAGCGACGAAGGGGCUUCGGCCCCGGCAAAGCCGCGAACGGGUGAGUAACACGUGGGUUACCUGCCCUGAUGACCGGGACAACCCGAGGAAACUCGGGCUAAUACCGGAUGUGCCCGCAAGGGGAAAGGAAGCUUCGGCCUCCGCAUCAGGAUGGGCCCGCGGCGCAUUAGCUUGUUGGUGGGGUAACGGCCUACCAAGGCGACGAUGCGUAGCUGGUCUGAGAGGACGAUCAGCCACACUGGGACUGAGACACGGCCCAGACUCCUACGGGAGGCAGCAGUGGGGAAUCUUGCACAAUGCGCGAAAGCGUGAUGCAGCAACGCCGCGUGCGGGAAGACGGCCUUCGGGUUGUAAACCGCUUUCAGUUGGGACGAAGGUUCGAUCGUUAAUAGCGGUUUGGACUGACGGUACCUUCACAAGAAGCCCCGGCUAACUACGUGCCAGCCGCCGCCGUAACAC